rnacentral:rRNA from 1 species
CACGUAGGGUGCGAGCGUUGUCCGGAAUUAUUGGGCGUAAAGAGCUCGUAGGCGGUUUGUCGCGUCUGCCCGUGGAAAGUCCGGGGCUCAACUCCGGAUCUGCGGUGGGUACGGGCAGACUAGAGUGAUGUAGGGGAGACUGGAAUUCCUGGUGUAGCGGUGAAAUGCGCAGAUAUCAGGAGGAACACCGAUGGCGAAGGCAGGUCUCGUGGGCAUUAACUGACGCUGGAGGAGCGAAAGCAUGGGGAGCGAACAGGA